rnacentral:rRNA from 1 species
AUUGAACGCUGGCGGCAGGCUUAACACAUGCAAGUCGAACGGUAACAUAAAGAAGCUUGCUUCUUUGAUGACGAGUGGCGGACGGGUGAGUAAUGCUUGGGAAUCUAGCUUAUGGAGGGGGAUAACUACGGGAAACUGUAGCUAAUACCGCGUAAUAUCGAAAGAUUAAAGUGUGGGACCUUCGGGCCACAUGCCAUAGGAUGAGCCCAAGUGGGAUUAGGUAGUUGGUGAGGUAAAGGCUCACCAAGCCGACGAUCUCUAGCUGGUCUGAGAGGAUGACCAGCCACACUGGGACUGAGACACGGCCCAGACUCCUACGGGAGGCAGCAGUGGGGAAUAUUGCGCAAUGGGGGCAACCCUGACGCAGCCAUGCCGCGUGAAUGAAGAAGGCCUUCGGGUUGUAAAGUUCUUUCGGUAGCGAGGAAGGCAUUUAGUUUAAUAAACUAGGUGAUUGACGUUAACUACAGAAGAAGCACCGGCUAACUCCGUGCCAGCAGCCGCGGUAAUACGGAGGGUGCGAGCGUUAAUCGGAAUAACUGGGCGUAAAGGGCACGCAGGCGGUGACUUAAGUGAGGUGUGAAAGCCCCGGGCUUAACCUGGGAAUUGCAUUUCAUACUGGGUCGCUAGAGUACUUUAGGGAGGGGUAGAAUUCCACGUGUAGCGGUGAAAUGCGUAGAGAUGUGGAGGAAUACCGAAGGCGAAGGCAGCCCCUUGGGAAUGUACUGACGCUCAUGUGCGAAAGCGUGGGGAGCAAACAGG